rnacentral:lncRNA from 1 species
ACAACCAUAUUAAAACUACAAUUAAGUUUUAAAACCUUACUAUUAACAAGAAUUGACAAAUAUCAAACUAGCGCAGAUCAAUAGACCGAAAGAUAAAAUCACAUGCUUGUACUCUCCUAACCAAAUCAAAGAGUCAUGUUUCUAUGCAACAUACUUUGGAAUCCUUCCCACACUCUGUUGUGCUUCCUAGAAUAACUAAAAUAAAAUUAAAUAUAUUUAAACAUUGGUUUCUAUUGUAUAAAAAUUUUGCAUGUCAAAUGGAAGAUUUUAUCAUGAAUUUUGACAUUUUUAUUGUACUUAUACACAAAAACAGGAAUAGAAACAUGAAAUGUACAUGAUAAAUAGAAAUUAGAACAAAAAUGUUAAGUUAUGAUCCAAAAUU